rnacentral:rRNA from 1 species
GGAGGUACUGAGUGGCGAACGGGUGAGUAACACGUGGGUGAUCUGCCCUGCACUCUGGGAUAAGCCUGGGAAACUGGGUCUAAUACCGGAUAGGACCGCACUUUAGUGUGUGUGGUGGAAAGUUUUUUCGGUGUAGGAUGAGCCCGCGGCCUAUCAGCUUGUUGGUGGGGUAAUGGCCUACCAAGGCGGCGACGGGUAGCCGGACUGAGAGGUUGGUCGGCCACAUUGGGACUGAGAUACGGCCCAG